rnacentral:lncRNA from 1 species
GUCAGUCUCAUGGUACAGACUGAAACCUGGAAUAAGGCUCAGCUCACAGCUGGACUUAGGCCACUGAGACCAAACCCCACCUUUUGGAGAGUGCACUGCUCAGGACACAGGAUCUUCAAGAGGCGAAAUAACCAAAACAGUGAGAUACUAAUUAAAGAGAGGACACAGUGACCCUGGGUUGUUUAGAAGUCAC